UAAUACGGAGGGUGCUAGCGUUGUUCGGAAUUACUGGGCGUAAAGCGCGUGUAGGCGGAUCCAGAAGUCGGGUGUGAAAGCCCUGGGCUUAACCCAGGAAGUGCGCCCGAAACCAUGGGUCUUGAGGUCCGGAGGGGAUCGGGGAAUUCCCAGUGUAGAGGUGAAAUUCGUAGAUAUUGGGAGGAACACCGGUGGCGAAGGCGCCGAUCUGGACGGAUUCUGACGCUGAGACGCGAAAGCGUGGGUAGCAAACAGG
rnacentral:rRNA from 1 species